rnacentral:hammerhead_ribozyme from 1 species
ACUGCUCUGACGAGCCCCAAAAGGGCGAAACAGCUGUCCGCAGU